AGCAGCCGCGGUAAUUCCAGCUCCAAUAGCGUAUAUUAAAGUUGUUGCAGUUAAAAAGCUCGUAGUUGAAUUUCGGGGUUAGUAGAUUGGUCAUGCCUCUGGUAUGCACUGGUCUUACUGAUUCCUCCUUCCUGAUGAACCGUAAUGCCAUUAAUUUGGUGUUGCGGGGAAACUGGACUGUUACUUUGAAAAAUUAGAGUGUUUAAAGCAGGCUAACGCUUGAAUACAUUAGCAUGGAAUAAUGAAAUAGGACGUUCGAUCUUAUUUUGUUGGUUUCUAGGAUUGACGUAAUGAUUAAUAGGGAUAGUUGGGGCAUUAGUAUUCAAUUGUCAGAGGUGAAAUUCUUGGAUUUAUUGAAGACUAACUACUGCGAAAGCAUUUGCCAAGGAUGUUUUCAUUAAUACAAGAACGAAAGUUAGGGGAUCGAAGACGAUCAGAUACCGUCGUAGUC
rnacentral:rRNA from 1 species